GUCCAAUUAACAUAACAUCAUCAAUACACGUCUAUGGAUUGUCCAGAUAUUAAGGUCCCUCUGAAGUAUACUGUAGCAAAGGGCAGAUGAGUGUCCCACUUUUAAGAGGCCUGAUCUCCAGAGCUGUAAGUCAACUGAUGUUGUCCUUCAUGCCUCAACAGGGUUCAUGGAAUUUGGAGUUUUGAAGAGAUCAUUUCUUAGGCCCAGAUUAACCCUACUCAGCAAGUUUAUGACUGCUUCUGAGUUUUUUAGUGAUGAAUGAUGAUCAUCAUGAACAAAAGAAAUGGAUAUUUUGAACCUUGAGAUGACAUACCAAAACUUAUGAUACAAUUAAAGAAGUGCUUAUAGGAGAGAGUAUAACUGUAAAUAAAUAUUUAUAUUUAAAAAUAAAUAUUAAAAAGAAUUUAAA